UUCUGUGUCCCACUUCAAGGGGGAAAGGAGCGAGAGAAGGUUGGAGAGACCUUCCUGCUUCUGCCGUUUUCCCAGUUUCCAAGACACCACAUUUUGGGGUGGCAUUUCCUGUGCCCCAUUACAUACUUGACGUCUCAUUAGAUUUACCAAUCUAACCCCAGCACACAUACAGGUCUGCACACACAUGCACAGCACACCAUUUCUCCAUUUGUCUCUCCUAGUUCAAUAAACAGUACCCGCAUCCACACUGUUACCUAAGCCAGACUCCUAGAGCCACCCUCGGUUCCUUCUUCUCCCUCCCCUCCCAUAUCCAAUAUCCAAUCCACCAGCAGUUCAGGAAUGCUCUAACUUCAAAAUCGAUCUCAAAUACAGCCUCUUCUCUUCAUCCGGCAGGCACCUUAGUCCAAGCCAAAAUAUUUCCCACCUGGACUUUUAUUUUUGGACUGCUUCCCUUGCUUCAAGUUCACAGUCCUUUCAUCAUCCUCAUAAUCUAACCCCAAGCUCUUCUCCAACCUCAUCUUCUACCUUUCCUCUCUUUCAAGACACUCCAAGACUGCAGGUCUCCUGUUAUUAAAAGGUACAGUUUGUUGGAAUACAAUUCACAGCAUGUGAGAAUCCUCUUAACUUCACUGUGUUUUUGAGGCAGAGUCUCACUCUGUCACCCAGGCUGGAAUGCAGUGGCUCAACCAUGGCUCACUGCAGCCUCAGCCUUGGGGCUCAAGCAAUCCUCCCGGCACAGCCUCCAAAGUAGCUGAGACUAUAGGCACAUGCCACCAUACACAGCUAAUUUUUUUAUUUCAUUAUUUUUGGAAGGUAGGGAGUUUCCUUAUUUUGCCCAAGCUGGUCUCAAACUCCUGGGCUCAAACAAUUCUCCCAACAUGGCCUCCAAAGUGCUGGGAUUACAGGUGUGAGCCACGGUGCCUGGCCUCCUCUUAAUUUCAAAAAGAUGGAAAUUCAAUAUUUCCUAGACACGUCAAAGUGCCUAGUCCCAGACUUGGCAACAGACACCUGGGUAGCUUCAGAUUUGUUUUUAUGUGCUCCUGGGUAGGUCACUGAGGGUAGAAAUUAAAAGGCAUUUCCCACAUUUGGGGCUGGAUUAUAAUUCAUACUAUUACCCUGAGAAAAUGGUCUUUUCCCCCAAAAUUUCUAGAGAAGGAUACACCAUAGCCACUUUUACUGUCUGUGUUUUCAGCCAGGAAGUUCUAAUUCCUAAGUCAAGUCCCUUCAGCUCUACUUCAGCCUCAGCAGGAGCCAAGGUCAUGCGAUGACUCUGUCCCUCUCUGAUCCCACAUCUCCAGCCUACCUGCUUCAGGCGAGCUUUGGUGUGCGUGCUCUGUCCCAGGAGGAGCCUCACGUCUGGGUAAAUGCUCUUCUCAAGCAGCAGGACUACGGUGGUGGUUUUUGUAAUCAGAAGACAUCUUCAUUUUCCUUCUCCUGGACUCGGCUUCUGGACCAGACAGUAUCAGCAGGCUGUGGCUUCUGAGGAGACGACACCCUCCCGCACUGCUCAGUCACGCAUGGAAGACUCUGCAUCACCAAAUCUCUUACCGAAGCAAGCCCUGUGGGGCCCCACAGCGACUCAGGGUCAGCACUCCAGACCCAUGAGGGUUGCCUUAUGAGGACAACAGAAUGAGAAGCUGCGAGGAUUCCCUCACUCCUUUCCAGACAAAGCCCCAAGGCUGCCUGGUACAGACUCGCCUUGUCCCCUCUCCCCAGGGCAGCUGGCUGUAAGACACCAGGAAUGACCACCACCUUGACCGCGGAAUCUCUGACAUCAACAGGCAUCCAUUAGCGUCUUAGCCUACCUGUCUUUCCCAUAAGAGAGAAUAAUAGAAGGCAACAGGCUGGAGUGCAUUGGCACAGUCGUAGCUCACUGCAGCCGAGAACUCCUGGGCUCAAGUGAUCCUCCUGCCUCAGCUUCCCAAGUAGCUGCAGUAAUACAGCUGGGACCGCCAAGGACAGUGCUGAGCUGUGUCUCCUCUUCCGCCAAUGUAUCUUCGUGGGAGAUGAAAGACAGACAAGUAUCAAAAGGGCCAUCCCAGAUGCAAAGCAGGAACUGGCUUUUCAGAAGUACUGUAUAUUUGCUUGUUGAAAUAAAAAUCAUGAGCAAGAAAGAGGUAAAUAAAAGUUUUUCAAGCACUCAACAUUUUUCUUUCCUUCUGCUUGAAACGUACCAGACAUCAGGACAGUUUGAUCCAUGACGGGUACUGAACUCUAAGACAUUCCGGAGCUGUAAGAACAGUUAGGCCACAGUCGAAGAGAGAAAAGAUAAUCCACCUAAACCCACCGUGAUGCUCAGCAACCCGAGGAAGAGCGGGCAGAAAGAAGCUUUGUGUUCAGACUUCUGAGAGGAUGUCACCCUUUGAAGAUCGUUUCAAGUUCAAAGCACAGGGGGCUCAAAUGAUCCAACACAGGCAAGGAAAUAAAUAUCUACAAACACACACAUCGGCCAGAGCUGUGCAUGUGAGGCGCCCAACAGAGUGAGUUUUUCCAGGCUUAAGCUCUUCUGUUCCCCACCCCCAACCUCAAAGCA